GCCUGGGUAGCUCAGUUGGUUAGAGCGCUGGAUUGUGGAUCCAGAGGUCGCGGGUUCGAUCCCCUCUCCAGGUACCA
rnacentral:tRNA from 1 species